rnacentral:rRNA from 1 species
AUUGAACGCUGGCGGCAGGCUUAACACAUGCAAGUCGAGCGGAGAUGAGGUGCUUGCACCUUAUCUUAGCGGCGGACGGGUGAGUAAUGCUUAGGAAUCUGCCUAUUAGUGGGGGACAACAUUCCGAAAGGAAUGCUAAUACCGCAUACGCCCUACGGGGGAAAGCAGGGGGUCUUCGGACCUUGCGCUAAUAGAUGAGCCUAAGUCGGAUUAGCUUGUUGGUGGGGUAAAGGCCUACCAAGGCGACGAUCUGUAGCGGGUCUGAGAGGAUGAUCCGCCACACUGGGACUGAGACACGGCCCAGACUCCUACGGGAGGCAGCAGUGGGGAAUAUUGGACAAUGGGCGGAAGCCUGAUCCAGCCAUGCCGCGUGUGUGAAGAAGGCCUUUUGGUUGUAAAGCACUUUAAGCGAGGAGGAGGCUACCUGGAUUAAUACUCUAGGAUAGUGGACGUUACUCGCAGAAUAAGCACCGGCUAACUCUGUGCCAGCCGCCGCAGUAAGAC